AUGGUUAAAAAUCUACCCAUGUCUGACAAUUUCAUGUUGUUGAAUCAGCUUGUAGUUGAUGCUCUGGAAGAAAUUACUCGUACAAUGGGCGCUAAGUAUUGGAAGUUCAAUGGGGGUUCUUGCCAAAUUGAAUUGGUUGGGGUAACCGCCGAGCCGCCAAAGGCAUCUGAGAGUAGCAUCGAAUGUGAAUGCAACAACACUGUCUGUCACGUCGUAAAGCUAGGACUCAAGAGGUUUAGUCUACCUGGAAAACUUCCACCUCAACUGGUGAAACUUCCUUACCUUAGAGAAAUUGAUUUGGUUUAUAAUUAUCUCAGUGGUACGAUACCAGCAGAAUGGGGUUCAAUGCAGUUAACAUCAAUCUCUCUUCUUGUAAAUCGCUUAUCAGGGGAGAUUCCAGUGGUGCUGGGAAAUAUUACCACUCUGACAUACCUGAAUCUUGAAGCAAACCAAUUCUCUGGAGUUGUUCCUCCUGAGCUUGGGAGUUUAAUCAACUUGGGAAGUUUGAUACUGUCCUCCAAUUAUUUGACUGGAAACAUACCAAAUACAUUCGCUGGGCUAAGAAAUUUGACAGAUUUUAGGAUAAAUGAUAACAACUUCAAUGGGACCAUACCUGAUUUUAUACAGAAUUGGAAACAACUCGGUAGAUUAGAAAUACAUGGCAGUGGGCUUCGUGGACCUAUCCCAUCAAAUAUAUCGCUCCUGAGUAAUUUAGUUGAGUUGAGGAUUAGUGAUAUAAAUGGAACAGAGCAGGAUUUUCCUAUGCUGAAAAACAUGACUGGCCUAGUCAGAUUGAUUCUGAGGAACUGUAACAUUUCUGGAGAGAUCCCUCCUUACAUGUGGACACUGCAGAACCUGGAAAUGCUGGAUGUGAGUUUUAACAAGUUGAUAGGGGAAAUUCCAACCACAAUCAGCUUAGAGCGAUUGAGAUUCCUAUUCUUAACUGGAAACUCUCUGAGUGGAAGUAUACCAGACUCAAUCUUCAAAGAUGGAAGCAAUGUUGAUCUAUCGUACAAUAACUUCACAUGGCAAGGCCCUGAGCAACCUACUUGUCAGGAAAACAUGAAUCUAAACCUGAACUUGUUUCGAAGCUCUUCCUCAGAGAGCAACUUGAGAGGUCUUCCGUGCUUGAAGAGCUUGAUUUGUCCUCGCUAUUCGACUUGUUUGCAUGUAAAUUGUGGUGGGAAUGACAUUACUGUCAAAGAAAAUAAAGAAAGCAUUCUGUAUCUAGGAGAUGGAGGAGUUGAAGGUGGCACUGCAGAGAAUUUCUUCAAUGAUGAUCAUUAUUGGGGAUUUAGUAGCACCGGAGACUUCUUGGAUGACAACGAUUUCCAAAAUACACGUUACUCUGUAUCUGUGGCAUCUUCGAAUCUCUCUGAAUUAUAUACAACAGCACGCAUAGCUCCAAUUUCAAUCACUUAUUUUCAUUAUUGCUUAGAAAAUGGUGACUAUACUCUAAGUCUGCACUUCGCGGAGAUACAGUUUACAAAUAACCAAACAUUCACAAGUCUUGGGAGGCGCAUAUUUGAUAUCUAUAUUCAGGAUAAACUAUGGUGGAAGGACUUCAAUAUUGAAGAUCAGGCCAAAUUGGCUCAAACUCCAGUAGUACUACAACAUAAUAUAAGUGUGACUAAUAAUGUCUUAGAGAUCCGAUUCUAUUUUGCGGGUAAAGGGACAACCAGGAUUCCUGACAGAGGAGUUUAUGGUCCCCUUGUAUCUGCUAUUUCAGUGAAAUCUGAUUUCAGACCUUGCUCAAGUGCUGGUAAUAAGGGAACUACUCAAAUUGUCAUUGGGCUUGUAGUUGGAGCACUUUGCCUACUAUUUCUUGUUUUAGGAAUCCUAUGGUGGACAGGCAACUUGCCAGGAAAACUGGGCAGAAAGAAAGAUGGAAAAGAAUCUGAUCUCCAGAUGGGAAAUUUUACCCUAAAACAAUUACAAGCUGCCACUAACGACUUUGAUUACAAUAACAAAAUUGGAGAAGGUGGUUUUGGUCCUGUGUACAAGGGUCAGUUGCCUGAUGGUACUGUGAUAGCAGUGAAGCAGCUUUCCUCUAAAUCAAGGCAAGGAAAUCGUGAAUUCUUAAAUGAAAUGGGCAUGAUAUCUUGUUUACAACACCCGAAUCUAGUGAAACUUCAUGGAUGCUGUAUUGAAGGAGGUCAGCUAUUGCUGGUCUAUGAGUACUUAGAGAACAAUAACCUUGCUCGAGCAUUGUUUGGUCGUGACACACAGAUCAAAAUGGACUGGCCAACAAGGCGUAAGAUUUGUAUUGGGAUAGCAAGAGGGCUUGCUUUUCUUCACGAAGAAUCCGUACUAAAAAUUGUUCAUCGAGACAUCAAAGCAACUAAUGUGCUGCUUGAUGUGGACUUGAACCCCAAGAUAUCCGACUUUGGACUAGCAAAGCUUGAUGAAGAGGAGAAGACUCACAUAAGCACCCGAGUUGCUGGGACCAUAGGGUACAUGGCACCGGAAUAUGCACUAUGGGGUCACCUGACCUACAAAGCAGAUGUUUACAGUUUUGGAGUAGUGGCCCUGGAACUGAUUAGUGGGAAGAACAACAAUGUUUAUAUACCAAGUGAUGAUUGUGUUUGUCUUUUAGAUUGGGCUUGUCAUUUGCAACAAUCUGGAAAGUUGUUGGAGCUAGUUGAUGAGAAGUUAGGGUCCGAGUUUGACAAAAAGGAAGCGGAGAUCAUGGUAAAAGUAGCUCUGAUAUGCACAAACGCCUCUGCUUCACUUCGGCCUAUCAUGUCUGAGGUGGUCAAAAUGCUUGAAGGACAAAUAGCCGUUCCUGACGUGAUCCCAGAACCGAGUAGCUACAGGGAGGAUUUGAGGUUUAAGGCCAUGAGAGACCUCCAUCGCCAGAGGGGAACUGACAGUUCAACUAUGAGCCAAACACAAAUGACAGUCCAAACAUUCUGCUCCACCUCUACCAUUUCUGGCGUUGACUCCUGUGAAAUCAACCCAGAAACGACACCCUCGCAGAGUGAAGAAGAGGAAAGCUGCAUGUACAACACCAGCAAACAGACAUCUGCUUGUUGGCCUGGGGGUGUAGAUACAAAUGACAUGAAGAAGAUGAAGCAUAACAUCAUAAUGCUCAUGAUCUUGGUUCUCUGCUUGUUCUGCAUAACAUUGAGUGAAGUUGAAGCACAAUGUUCGCCUCUUCCGGUUGCUGAAGUGGAAGCACUAAAAGAGAUCGGUAAGGAAUUAGGGAAAAACUGGAACUUCGAAGAAGACCCAUGUAGCAAGAAGUCAAGUUGGGCCACCCUAGUGCCAAAAUCUGAUGACUGGCCUUCAUCCAUGAACAAUGUCACUUGCAGCUGUUCCUUCCCUGAUGAAACCUACCAUGUUAUCAGCAUAAUUCUCCAAGGGCAAGAUUUACAUGGUGUGCUUCCAACAUCUAUUGUGAAGUUGCCUUACCUGACAUUUCUUGAUUUGAAUAGAAACUACCUCAGUGGUAAGAUACCGAUUCAAUGGGCUUCUACAAAGCUGGAACAUCUGUCUGUUUCGGUGAACAAUUUACCAGCCGGAUCAAUUCCUAGCUACUUGGGAAACAUUACCACUCUACAGUACCUGAGCCUAGAGACUAACCGGUUUUCUGGAACUGUUCCUCCUGAGCUUGGUAAUUUGGUCAACUUGGAGACUCUUGUUCUUAGCGCAAACAAUCUCACAGGAGAGUUGCCAAUGUCUCUUACUAAACUGACUAAAUUGAUUGAACUGAGGAUAAGCAGUAACAACUUUUCAGGAACAAUAGCUCCUCAUUUUUUCCAAAGUUGGAAUCUACUACAGCAAUUAGAGAUUCAAGCUAGUGGUUUGGAAGGGCCUAUUCCAUCGACAAUUUCUAUUUUGAAGAACUUAACAGAGCUUAGGAUCAGUGACUUAACUGGAAGGGGUUCAGAAUUUCCUCCCUUACAGAAAAUGACAGGUUUGAAGAGACUAAUGCUGAGGAGCUGUAAUUUAUCUGGACGAAUUCCUAAUUAUAUAUUGGCAACGAAAUCAUUGAAUAUGUUGGAUCUAAGCUUCAACAGAUUGGUAGGAAGUAUUAGUAUUCCUGAUUUCGGUAUAAGCCUGCAGUACUUAUAUUUGACAAACAACUUGCUCACUGGGCCUAUUCCAGAAUGGAUCAUUAGCAGAGAUUCUCGCUACCAUAUAGAUAUUUCUUACAAUAACUUUUCCAAGAGCUCUACACAGCAACCGUCUUGUACAGACACCCUGUAAGAGAUUUCUCUUUCAAACCACUACUCGUUGCAUAUAAAUUGUGGUGGACUAGCUACCAUUGUUAGAGGAACCAAAUUUGAAAAUGAUGCAGAUCCAGGAGGUGCAGCAAAAUUAGUCCCUAUGAAUAUCUGGGGAUUCAGUAGCACUGGGCACUUCUGGGAUAAGAACCCUAAAGCUCAAGACUACAUAGCAAAGAAUGCAUCUUUACUCAGAAUGAAAAACUCUGAGUUGUACACAAAUGCUCGUCUCUCUCCUCUUUCUCUUACGUACUAUGCACGCUGCCUUGGGAAUGGAAACUAUAAUGUGAAUCUUCACUUUGCGGAGACAAUACUCAGAAGCAAUGAAUCUUUUUAUAGUCUUGGAAGAAGGAUAUUUGAUGUUUACAUUCAAGAGCAACUGGUGCUCAAGGAUUUUGACAUUGCAAAGGAAGCACAAGGGACUGAUAAGGAGGUCAUUAUGAAAUUCAAAGCAGUUGUUAAGAAUAAAACACUUGAGAUCCGUUUUCAUUGGUCCGGGGAAGGGACAACAGGUUCCCCAAGAAAAGGAACAUAUGGUCCCCUUAUAUCAGCUAUUUCUAUAAAUUCUGACUUCAGGCCUCCUCUUGGUAGAGAAACAAAACUUAUUGUGGGUGGAGCUUCAGUUUUGUGCCUCGCUGUAUUGAUUUUAGGCCUUCUUUGGUGGAAAGGCUGUCUGAACAGCAAGACAGAAAUGGAAAGAGCUCUGAGAGGACUGGACCUGCAAACUGGCUUGUUCACCUUCAAGCACAUCAAAGCUGCCACUAACAACUUUGAUCCAACUAACAAAAUUGGAGAAGGUGGUUUUGGGCCUGUCUACAAGGGUAUAUUAAUCGAUGGUACUAUAAUUGCAGUUAAGCAACUAUCUUCACAUUCGAAGCAGGGAAAUCGUGAAUUCGUGAAUGAAAUAGGCAUGAUCUCUUGUGUGCAGCAUCCAAAUCUUGUUAGAUUGUAUGGAUGUUGUAUUGAAGCAAAUCAUUUACUGUUGGUAUAUGAGUACAUGGAAAACAAUAGCCUUGCACGCGCUUUGUUUGGUCCAGAGGAUGGUCCCCUAAAAUUGGACUGGCCUACGAGGCAGAAAAUAUGCCUAGGCAUAGCGAAAGGUCUGGCUUAUUUGCAUGAGGAAUCGGCAGUGAAGGUUGUACACAGAGACAUCAAAACUACGAAUGUGUUACUGGACCAAGACCUCAACGCUAAAAUAUCAGACUUUGGUUUGGCCAAGCUUGAUGAAGAGGAGAACACUCACAUAAGCACCAGGAUUGCUGGAACUAUAGGAUACAUGACACCGGAAUAUACGCUUUGGGGUUGCUUGACCUAUAAAGCAGAUGUCUACAGUUUUGGAGUUGUUGCAUUAGAAAUUGUUACAGGAAAGAACAACAUGAAAUAUCGACCCAAUGAGAACAUUCAAUGUCUCAUGGAUUGGGCCCUUGUUUUGCAACAAAAAGGGAACUUACUGGAGCUGGUGGAUCCAAGGUUGGGGUCCGAUUUCAAUAAGAAAGAGGCGCUUAGAACUAUCAAAGUAGCUCUGCUGUGCACCAAUCCAACAGCUGCGCUCAGGCCUAUCAUGUCUGCAGUAGUGAGUAUGCUUGAAGGGCGGACCGCUGUGGAUGACGUUGUGAUGGAUCCAAGUGUCUAUGGUGAUGAAAUGACGAAGUUAAGAGCCUUGAGAGACCAGUUUGAUCACAAUGCACCAUGGAUCAGCUCCCCAAGUGGAAGUCAUAGCCUCAUGCGUUCAUCAGAUGCACCAUGGACUGGUUCUUCUGGUACUACUACGUCAAAUAAUUAGUGUCACUCCAGAACCAAGAGAUCGAUGUAUCUGAUCUUGACAAUAUUUACCUUACUGUUUGGUAGCAUCAAACAUAUUUGCCUAUCAA